rnacentral:rRNA from 1 species
UACGUAGGGGGCGAGCGUUGUCCGGAUUUAUUGGGCGUAAAGAGCUCGUAGGCGGUUCGAUAAGUCGGACGUGAAAUCUCCACGCUCAACGUGGAGGGGCCGUUCGAUACUGUCGUGACUCGAGUCCGGUAGGGGAGUGUGGAAUUCCCGGUGUAGCGGUGAAAUGCGCAGAGAUCCGGAGGAACACCAGCGGCGAAGGCAGCUCUCUGGGACGGUACUGACGCUGAGACGCGAAAGCGUGGGGAGCGAACAGG